rnacentral:rRNA from 1 species
AACGAACGCUGGCGGCAUGCCUAACACAUGCAAGUCGAACGAGCCCUUCGGGUCUAGUGGCGCACGGGUGCGUAACGCGUGGGAACCUGCCCUUAGGUUCGGAAUAACUCCCCGAAAGGGGUGCUAAUACCGGAUAAUGUCUUCGGACCAAAGAUUUAUCGCCUUUGGAUGGGCCCGCGUUGGAUUAGCUAGUUGGUAGGGUAAUAGCCUACUACGGCGACAAUCCAUAGCUGGUCUGAGAGGAUGAUCAGCCACACUGGGACUGAGACACGGCCCAGACUCCUACGGGAGGCAGCAGUGGGGAAUAUUGGACAAUGGGCGAAAGCCUGAUCCAGCAAUGCCGCGUGAGUGAUGAAGGCCUUAGGGUUGUAAAGCUCUUUUACCCGGGAUGAUAAUGACAGUACCGGGAGAAUAAGCUCCGGCUAACUCCGUG